GACGAACGCUGGCGGCGUGCCUAAUACAUGUAAGUCGAGCGGAUCUUCAUUAGCUUGCUUUUGAAGACCAGCGGCGGACGGGUGAGUAACACGUGGGCAACCUGCCUGUAAGACUGGGAUAACUUCGGGAAACCGGAGCUAAUACCGGAUAAUCCUUUCCCUCACAAGAGGGAAAGCUGAAAGACGGUUUCGGCUGUCACUUACAGAUGGGCCCGCGGCGCAUUAGCUAGUUGGUGAGGUAAUGGCUCACCAAGGCGACGAUGCGUAGCCGACCUGAGAGGGGGAUCGGCCACACUGGGACUGAGACACGGCCCAGACUCCUACGGGAGGCAGCAGUAGGGAAUCUUCCGCAAUGGACGAAAGUCUGACGGAGCAACGCCGCGUGAGCGAUGAAGGCCUUCGGGUCGUAAAGCUCUGUUGUCAGGGAAGAACAAGUAUCGGAGUAACUGCCGGUACCUUGACGGUACCUGACCAGAAAGCCACGGCUAACUACGUGCCAGCAGCCGCCGUAA
rnacentral:rRNA from 1 species